UACCACAGUGGGAACUCCUGAAAUAACAUGACUUCAUUUUAUUAGACAUGUCUCUUGAGUCAGAAAUUCCAUGCCUGGCAACUGUCAUCUUCUUGUUACUAUCUGUCGUGGUUUCCUUCACAUUUAUUUACGUGACUCUUUGUAAAUUUACUUUCCAGGAGAACUUCAGGAUGAAACAGACACUCUUCGGGAAAAAAACGGAGAACUUCAGGAUGAAACAGACACUCUUCGGAAAAAAAACGGUAAAUUUUCUGAUAUCCCAUUGCUCUUGAGCCCCUCCGAAGAGACUGGUUCAGCCUUUCAUCUUGUGUGCCGUUUCAUCUAUUUCGCUUCUGUCGGCAUGCCUUUCUCUUGCACGUCCUGUCUACGGGCUCCACCUCAAUGUUUUGCGUUGGACGUGUCCCACGUUCCUUCUGUCCAUUUCUGUUUGCCUACCUCCUCUGCUCUGCCAUUCCUUCUCUUUGCAAUGCAUGCCAUGCCCUCCCGGUAAGGACUGGCUUUGCUUCGGUCUUUCAGGCACUUGCCACAGUUUCAUGAAGAAGUUGGUGAGAUGCAAAGCAUUACGCUGAGAGGGAGA
rnacentral:lncRNA from 1 species